rnacentral:rRNA from 1 species
CCUACGGGUGGCAGCAGUGAGGAAUAUUGGUCAAUGGACGAGAGUCUGAACCAGCCAAGUAGCGUGAAGGAUGACUGCCCUAUGGGUUGUAAACUUCUUUUAUAUGGGAAUAAAAUGUUCCACGUGUGGGAUUUUGUAUGUACCAUAUGAAUAAGGAUCGGCUAACUCCGUGCCAGCAGCCGCGGUAAUACGGAGGAUCCGUGCGUUAUCCGGAUUUAUUGGGUUUAAAGGGAGCGUAGGUGGAUUGUUAAGUCAGUUGUGAAAGUUUGCGGCUCAACCGUAAAAUUGCAGUUGAAACUGGCAGUCUUGAGUACAGUAGAGGUGGGCGGAAUUCGUGGUGUAGCGGUGAAAUGCUUAGAUAUCACGAAGAACUCCGAUUGCGAAGGCAGUUCACUGGACUGCAACUGACACUGAGGCUCGAAAGUGUGGGUAUCAAACAGGAGUAGAUACCCGGGUAGUC